rnacentral:rRNA from 1 species
GGGUUGUGAGGUUAAGCGACUAAGCGUACACGGUGGAUGCCCUGGCAGUCAGAGGCGAUGAAGGACGUGCUAAUCUGCGAAAAGCGCCGGCGAGGUGAUAUGAACCCUUGACCCGGCGAUGUCCGAAUGGGGAAACCCAGUGUGAUUCGUCACACUAUCGUUAACUGAAUACAUAGGUUAACGAGGCGAACCGGGGGAACUGAAACAUCUAAGUACCCCGAGGAAAAGAAAUCAACCGAGAUUCCCCCAGUAGCGGCGAGCGAACGGGGAGCAGCCCAGAGUCUGAAUCAGCUUGUGUGUUAGUGGAAGCGUCUGGAAAGUCGCACGGUACAGGGUGAAAGUCCCGUACACGAAAA